UGGUAGUGAGAUAUACUGUGAUCUCUAUCACAGUAUCAUCGAAACUCCUUUCGAUGGGCUGAAACAAUUCCAACUCAUCUCAACAAGGAUCAUUGAUCUGAAAAUGAUCCUAAUGAGUUCUCACGAUCCAUCAGUAAUGUUUAACAGUAUGUAGUAGUAACCUAGUAGAAUAAAAAAGAUAAACCCCUAGGUAUAUUUAUCGUAUGAUACAAUCUCUCUAUCGUGAGCCCCAAC
rnacentral:lncRNA from 1 species